ensembl:miRNA
GUUUGACCCUUGAGCAGAGGUUGCCCUUGGUGAAUUCGCUUUAUUUAUGUUGAAUCACACAAAGGCAACUUUUGUUUGAGUAUCAAAU